UGCUAGUCGACGCACAGAACUAUGUCUGUGAGUGGCAUACUGCUCAGUAACACGUAGCUAACCUACCCUUAGGACGUUCACAACCCCGAGAAAUUGGGGCUAAUAGACGAUAGAUGUGAUGUCCUGGAAUGGUAUUACGUCUAAAGGUAUUCCAUACAUGUUUGGUAUAUGCCUAAGGAUGGGGCUGCGGCCGAUCAGGCUGUUGGUGAGGUAAUGGCUCACCAAACCUUUGACCGGUACGGGCCAUGAGAGUGGUAGCCCGGAGAUGGACACUGAGACAAGGGUCCAGGCCCUACGGGGCGCAGCAGGCGCGAAACCUCCUCAAUGCACUAACGUGCGAAGGGGUUACCUCGAGUGCUAUCUGAAGAAGGUGGCUUUUCCUUGGUCUAAAUAGCCUUGGGAAUAAGAGGGGGGCAAGACUGGUGUCAGCCGCCGCGGUAACACCAGCCCCCCCAGGGGUGGGGGAUGAUUUUUUGGCCUAAAGCGUCCGUAGCCGGCCAGAUAAGUUUCCCGUUAAAUCCUAGCGUCUCAGGCGUUAGACUGCGGGAAAUACUUUCUGGCUAGAGAGUGGGAGAGGUCAGCGGUAUUCUGGGGGUAGGGGCGAAAUCCUUUGAUCCCCGGAGGACCACCAGUGGCGAAAGGCUGCUGACUAGAACACGUCUGACGGUCAGGACGAAAGCUGGGGUAGCGAACCGGAUUAGAUACCCGGGUAGUCCCAGCCGUAAACGAUGCAUGCUAGUGUUGGUUGCCACGAGCCACCCCAGUGCCGCAGGGCGUAGCAUGCCGCUGGGUACGAUCGCAAGUGAACUAAAGAUGCG
rnacentral:rRNA from 1 species